rnacentral:tRNA from 1 species
GGGGAUGUAGCUCAGUUGGUUAGAGCGCCUGACUGUCGAUCAGGAGGUCGCGGGUUCGAAUCCCGUCAUUCCCGCCA